GCAAGCCUCAGGCUCAGGUCACAUUUAAGCUCAAUAAAGUUGUGAAGCACUAAUCUGGUCCAGAGGUUUCCCAAUCCCAGUCCAGAGAUGAACAGCUUCAGCCUCAGAUGACAUCGAGGUCC